rnacentral:rRNA from 1 species
GAAUAUUGCGCAAUGGCCGAAAGGCUGACGCAGCGACGCCGCGUGUGGGAGGAAGCCCUUCGGGGUGUAAACCACUGUCGGGAGGGACGAAUCCCGGACGGGCAAAUAGCCCGGACGGUUGACGGUACCUCCAAAGGAAGCACCGGCUAACUCCGUGCCAGCAGCCGCGGUAAGACGGAGGGUGCAAGCGUUGUUCGGAAUUACUGGGCGUAAAGCGCGGGCAGGUGGCCUUUUAAGUCCUUUGUGAAAUUCCGGGGCUCAACUCCGGAUGUGCAUAGGAUACUGGAAGGCUAGAGACUGGUAGAGGCGAGCGGAAUUCCUGGUGUAGCGGUGGAAUGCGUAGAUAUCAGGAAGAACACCGGUGGCGAAGGCGGCUCGCUGGGCCAGUUCUGACACUCAUCCGCGAAAGCGUGGGGAGCAA